GACGAACGCUGGCGGCGUGCCUAAUACAUGCAAGUAGAACGCUGAAGGAGGAGCUUGCUUCUCUGGAUGAGUUGCGAACGGGUGAGUAACGCGUAGGUAACCUGCCUGGUAGCGGGGGAUAACUAUUGGAAACGAUAGCUAAUACCGCAUAAGAGUAGAUGUUGCAUGACAUUUGCUUAAAAGGUGCAAUUGCAUCACUACCAGAUGGACCUGCGUUGUAUUAGCUAGUUGGUGAGGUAACGGCUCACCAAGGCGACGAUACAUAGCCGACCUGAGAGGGGGAUCGGCCACACUGGGACUGAGACACGGCCCAGACGCAUACGGGAGGCAGCAGUAGGGAAUCCUCGGGAAUGGGCGGAAGUCUGACCGAGCAACGCCGCGGGAGGGAAGAAGGGUGUCGGAUCGUAAAGCUCGGUUGUAAGAGAAGAACGAGUGUGAGAGUGGAAAGUUCACACUGUGACGGUAUCUUACCAGAAAGGGACGGCUAACUACGUG
rnacentral:rRNA from 1 species